CAUUUGACAUCAAAGCCAACACAUAGCACUUCACCCUUAGGUCAUCAUCUAUCCACUUGUCCAGAGUAGCUCUUUGCUCUACCGUAGGAUGAGCUGGUAAGGCUGGGAUGUCCUGAUCAAGUACAUAUCCCUUUUUAAAUGUCAAAACUAUCCUGAGGUUUCUGAGCUGGUCUUUAUAAUUUGUACCAAUUAGUCAGUUGGUUUCAAGGAUGUGAGCUAGUGGGUUAGAGGCCGACAUUGUUUACCUGCGAGAGUAAAGAUUCUAGUUAGAUAUUUGUACUUAAAAUUAUAUUUGCUUAAGAAAUUUUUAGAUGCAAAUAGACUCCCACUAUUUUUUUAGAUUUCGAUACUCCCUAGAUGAAAAAUGAAAACCUAACGCAAUCAAUGCAAGAUUUUUAGUAGGUGCUACAAUCCCACCGAUACCAUGUAUCUUACAUAAUAGUUAUUGAUAAUAUGCACACUGAUGCGUGAGCAACUCUUUGCUCAGAUGCUUCUUUAAGCAUAUUGCAGCAACUUGAUCUUUAAGUUAUGAGAGCUCAGAUAACACAUAUUAUCCCCACUCCUUAGUUAAGCCU
rnacentral:lncRNA from 1 species